AGAAGGAUGCGGGAGAAGUGAUCACGGGCUUGGCUCUCCCCAACCCCCCUGUAAAACAUGAGCCACCGAGAUUGCACAACCGGAGACACAGAGGACACUGUCCACAGUAAAGCCUGGUGGCAGCAUGUUCCCCUGGAACACAAAAUAAGAGUGGGCAGGAAGAGACCACCAACCUGGUGGCUGGCGAGCACGAGGAAGCUGAAAGCAGUGGAGGUUCUGUGAGUUUCAAAGAGGGGUUUCAGAACAUCCCCUCCACCAUGUGGUGGGAUGCUGACUCCGGAGCAUGGACUGUGUGCUGGCAGCACGUGGACUCCGCAAAGACAGACUGGCUUAGCCUUCUCCAGGAGGAGCUAGGCUGUGAUGGGCAGGGGCCAGGGAGGUGAGGGCUGUGGGGACUCAGCUCUGUACCCCAGCCUCGCGGCACCUCAUGGAGGCCAGCCUGAGGGCCCUCCAGACCUGGGAGUCCUGCCCUGCGGCCCACAGGCCCGAUGGCUUCACAGGUGGUAGAGGCCUCCAGUGCAGAUCCCCGUCCACGCCCUCCUUCUGGACUUCCUGGCUGAGGCCUUAUAUGUCAA
rnacentral:lncRNA from 1 species